AAUUGAGCUAUCUAGAUUAGGACCAG
rnacentral:piRNA from 1 species